GUCAGGAUAGCCAAACGGUCUAAGCGCUGCGUUCAGUUCGCAGUCCACUCGUUUUUGGCGUGGGUUCGAAUCCCACUUCUGAUG